ACCUUCUUUCGUUUAAGCACUGUGUCAAAACUGCAGACACCAUGAUCACAUCUUGGUUUUUGUAAUAAUGUUAGCAGAGUACACGCAAGAAGAAAAGGAACUGCACUAGACUGUAAAACCUGGGUGGGCCUCUCUCUUAAUGUCUAGUGCCCUUUGUCUUAAGAUUUGAUGCAAUAUAC